rnacentral:rRNA from 1 species
UACGGGGGGCAAGCGUUGUCGGAAUUACUGGCGUAAAGGGCUCGUAGGCGGCCAACUAAGUCAGACGUGAAAUCCCUCGGCUUAACCGGGGAACUGCGUCUGAUACUGGAUGGCUUGAGUUUCGGGAGAGGGAUGCGGGAAUUCCAGGUGUAGCGGUAGAAAUGCGUAGAUAUCUGGAGGAACACCGGUGGCGAAGGCGGCAUCCUGGACCGACACUGACACUGAGGAGCGAAAGCCAGGGAGCAAACGGGAGUAAGAAUGAACCC